rnacentral:rRNA from 1 species
AACGAACGCUGGCGGCAUGCCUAACACAUGCAAGUCGAACGAGAUCUUCGGGUCUAGUGGCGCACGGGUGCGUAACGCGUGGGAAUCUGCCCUUUGGUUCGGAAUAACAGUUGGAAACGACUGCUAAUACCGGAUGAUGACGAAAGUCCAAAGAUUUAUCGCCAGAGGAUGAGCCCGCGUAGGAUUAGCUAGUUGGUGUGGUAAAGGCGCACCAAGGCGACGAUCCCUAGCUGGUCUGAGAGGAUGAUCAGCCACACUGGGACUGGGACACGGCCCAGACUCCUACGGGAGGCAGCAGUGGGGAAUAUUGGACAAUGGGCGAAAGCCUGAUCCAGCAAUGCCGCGUGAGUGAUGAAGGCCUUAGGGUUGUAAAGCUCUUUUACCCGGGAUGAUAAUGACAGUACCGGGAGGAUAAGCUCCGGCUAACUCCGUGCCAGCAGCCGCAGUAA